GCCUCAUCUAGUUCCUUUGUGUACCAAGGAUUCGUUCGUGGAAAAGGAUUUGGUCAGUUUGGUCUUCAACGACUGGAGAGUUUAGACACGAGCAGAGAGAAUUCCCACUUCCCCCCCAACAGCAGUUCAGUGGCAGCAGCCAUCUUAGUGCCGUUCAUAGCCAUGAUCAUCGCGGGCUUCGCUCUGUACCUCUACAAACACAGGAGAAGACCUAAGGUACCGUUUAACAGCUAUUCAGGCCAUGAGAACACUAAUGGUAGAGCUACGUUUGAGAACCCCAUGUACGACCGCAACAUCCAGCCCACCGACAUCCUGGCCAACGAGACAGAGUUUACAGUCAGCACAGUGUGCACGGCGGUAUAGCCACUGUUUCCUCCAGAGGCAGAGGAAGUGGAAGGUGGAAGGAGCCUGUGCCCCUCUUACAAGACAGACCACACCCUCAUCUAACUGAACAGAGGGAAAUACAGACCACACACUCAUCUAAUUGAACAGAGGGAAAUACAGACCACACCCUCAUCUAACCGAACAGAGGGAAAUACAGACCACACCCUCAUCUAACUGAACAGAGGGAAAUAUAGACCACACCCUCAUCUAACUGAACAGAGGGAAAUACAGACCACACCCUCAUCUAACUGAACAGAGGGAAAUACAGACCACACCCUCAUCUAACUGAACAGAGGGAAAUACAGACCACACCCUCAUCUAACUGAACAGAGGGAAAUACAGACCACACCCUCAUCUAACUGAACAGAGGGAAAUAUAGACCACACCCUCAUCUAA